rnacentral:pre_miRNA from 1 species
CUGUGACCUGUGGGCUUCCCUUUGUCAUCCUAUGCCUGGAGAUCACAGUGAGGCAGGGACAGCAAAGGGAUGCUCAGCUGUCGUCUCU